rnacentral:rRNA from 1 species
GUCUACAGCCAUGCCACCCUGAACAAGCCUGAUCCCAUCUGCUCUCAGAAGCUAAGCAGGGUCGGGCCUGGCUAGUAUUUGGAUGGGUGACCACCUAGGAAGACCAGGUGCUGUAGGCG